rnacentral:rRNA from 1 species
GAUGAACGCUAGCGGCAGGCUUAAUACAUGCAAGUCAAGGGGGUAGCAAUACAACCGGCGCACGGGUGAGUAACACGUACACAACAUACCAUAUACUGAGGUAUAGCUUCGGGAAACUGAAGGUAAUCCCUCAUAGUAUUGUGAAAGGGCAUCUUUUUACAAUUAAAGUUUCGACGGUAUAUGAUUGGUGUGCGUUUGAUUAGCUAGUUGGUAGGGUAACGGCCUACCAAGGCAACGAUCAAUAGCUGGCGUGAGAGCGCGACCAGCCACACUGGAACUGAGACACGGUCCAGACUCCUACGGGAGGCAGCAGUAGGGAAUAUUGGACAAUGGGCGAAAGCCUGAUCCAGCCAUGCCGCGUGAUAGAUGAAGGCCCUCUGGGUUGUAAAUAUCUUUUAUCUGGGAAGAAACACUUCUAUUCUUAGAAGCUUGACGGUACCAGAGGAAUAAGCACCGGCUAACUCCGUGCCAGCAGCCGCGGUAAAGUAGUCGUG